CUGAUAUGAUGAGAAUGAUUUAUUCUACCAGAAAAUGAUGAUGGUUCUAAUACGAGCUUUUUAACCCUGAACAGU